rnacentral:rRNA from 1 species
AGUGAACGCUGGCGGUAGGCCUAACACAUGCAAGUCGAACGGCAGCACAGUAAGAGCUUGCUCUUACGGGUGGCGAGUGGCGGACGGGUGAGGAAUACAUCGGAAUCUACUUUUUCGUGGGGGAUAACGUAGGGAAACUUACGCUAAUACCGCAUACGACCUACGGGUGAAAGCAGGGGAUCUUCGGACCUUGCGCGAUUGAAUGAGCCGAUGUCGGAUUAGCUAGUUGGCGGGGUAAAGGCCCACCAAGGCGACGAUCCGUAGCUGGUCUGAGAGGAUGAUCAGCCACACUGGAACUGGGACACGGUCCAGACUCCUACGGGAGGCAGCAGGGGGGAAUAUUGGACAAAGGGCGCAAGCCUGAUCCAGCCAUACCGCGUGGGUGAAGAAGGCCUUCGGGUUGUAAAGCCCUUUUGUUGGGAAAGAAAAGCAGCAGGUUAAAACCCCGCUGUUCUGACGGUACCCAAAGAAUAAGCACCGGCUAACUUCGUG